CUAGCCGUAAACGAUGGAUACUAGGCGUUGUGAGUAUCGACCCUCACAGUGUCGUAGCUAACGCGUUAAGUAUCCCGCCUGGGGAGUACGCGCGCAAGCGUGAAACUCAAAGGAAUUGACGGGGGCCCGCAUAAGCGGUGGAGUAUGUGGUUUAAUUCGAUGCAACGCGAAGAACCUUACCAGGACUUGACAUGUCGCGAAUCUCAGGGAAACUUGAGAGUGCCUUCGGGAGCGCGAACACAGGUGGUGC
rnacentral:rRNA from 1 species